rnacentral:tRNA from 1 species
AUCUUUUUAGUAUAAAUUUACAUUUGGCUUCCAACCAAAAAAUCUAAUAAUUUUAGAAAAGAUA